rnacentral:tRNA from 2 species
GCUGGUGUAGCUCAAUGGUAGAGCAGCGCAUUCGUAAUGCGCAGGGUAGCGGUUCAAGUCCGCUCACCAGCU